rnacentral:rRNA from 5 species
GGGUUGUGAGGUUAAGCGACUAAGCGUACACGGUGGAUGCCCUGGCAGUCAGAGGCGAUGAAGGGCGUGCUAAUCUGCGAUAAGCGCCGGUAAGGUGAUAUGAACCGUUAUAACCGGCGAUACCCGAAUGGGGAAACCCAGUGUGACUCGUCACACUAUCAUUAACUGAAUCCAUAGGUUAAUGAGGCGAACCGGGGGAACUGAAACAUCUAAGUACCCCGAGGAAAAGAAAUCAACCGAGAUUCCCCCAGUAGCGGCGAGCGAACGGGGAGGAGCCCAGAGCCUGAAUCAGCAUGUGUGUUAGUGGAAGCGUCUGGAAAGGCGCGCGAUACAGGGUGACAGCCCCGUACACAAAAGCGCAUGUGCUGUGAGCUCGAUGAGUAGGGCGGGACACGUGGUAUCCUGUCUGAAUAUGGGGGGACCAUCCUCCAAGGCUAAAUACUCCUGACUGACCGAUAGUGAACCAGUACCGUGAGGGAAAGGCGAAAAGAACCCCGGCGAGGGGAGUGAAAAAGAACCUGAAACCGUGUACGUACAAGCAGUGGGAGCACCCUUUGGGUGUGACUGCGUACCUUUUGUAUAAUGGGUCAGCGACUUAUAUUCUGUAGCAAGGUUAACCGAAUAGGGGAGCCGGAGGGAAACCGAGUCUUAAUUGGGCGUUAAGUUGCAGGGUAUAGACCCGAAACCCGGUGAUCUAGCCAUGGGCAGGUUGAAGGUUGGGUAACACUAACUGGAGGACCGAACCGACUAAUGUUGAAAAAUUAGCGGAUGACCUGUGGCUGGGGGUGAAAGGCCAAUCAAACCGGGAGAUAGCUGGUUCUCCCCGAAAGCUAUUUAGGUAGCGCCUCGUGAAUUCAUCUCCGGGGGUAGAGCACUGUUUCGGCUAGGGGGCCAUCCCGGCUUACCAACCCGAUGCAAACUGCGAAUACCGGAGAAUGUUAUCACGGGAGACACACGGCGGGUGCUAACGUCCGUCGUGAAGAGGGAAACAACCCAGACCGCCAGCUAAGGUCCCAAAGUCAUGGUUAAGUGGGAAACGAUGUGGGAAGGCCCAGACAGCCAGGAUGUUGGCUUAGAAGCAGCCAUCAUUUAAAGAAAGCGUAAUAGCUCACUGGUCGAGUCGGCCUGCGCGGAAGAUGUAACGGGGCUAAACCAUGCACCGAAGCUGCGGCAGCGACACUGUGUGUUGUUGGGUAGGGGAGCGUUCUGUAAGCCUGUGAAGGUGUGUCGUGAGGCAUGCUGGAGGUAUCAGAAGUGCGAAUGCUGACAUAAGUAACGAUAAAGCGGGUGAAAAGCCCGCUCGCCGGAAGACCAAGGGUUCCUGUCCAACGUUAAUCGGGGCAGGGUGAGUCGACCCCUAAGGCGAGGCCGAAAGGCGUAGUCGAUGGGAAACGGGUUAAUAUUCCCGUACUUGGUGUUACUGCGAAGGGGGGACGGAGAAGGCUAUGUUGGCCGGGCGACGGUUGUCCCGGUUUAAGCGUGUAGGUGUGUGUUCCAGGUAAAUCCGGUUCACUUUAACACUGAGGCGUGACGACGAGGCACUACGGUGCUGAAGCAACAAAUGCCCUGCUUCCAGGAAAAGCCUCUAAGCAUCAGGUAACAUCAAAUCGUACCCCAAACCGACACAGGUGGUCAGGUAGAGAAUACCAAGGCGCUUGAGAGAACUCGGGUGAAGGAACUAGGCAAAAUGGUGCCGUAACUUCGGGAGAAGGCACGCUGACACGUAGGUGAAGUGAUUUACUCAUGGAGCUGAAGUCAGUCGAAGAUACCAGCUGGCUGCAACUGUUUAUUAAAAACACAGCACUGUGCAAACACGAAAGUGGACGUAUACGGUGUGACGCCUGCCCGGUGCCGGAAGGUUAAUUGAUGGGGUCAGCGCAAGCGAAGCUCCUGAUCGAAGCCCCGGUAAACGGCGGCCGUAACUAUAACGGUCCUAAGGUAGCGAAAUUCCUUGUCGGGUAAGUUCCGACCUGCACGAAUGGCGUAAUGAUGGCCAGGCUGUCUCCACCCGAGACUCAGUGAAAUUGAACUCGCUGUGAAGAUGCAGUGUACCCGCGGCAAGACGGAAAGACCCCGUGAACCUUUACUAUAGCUUGACACUGAACAUUGAGCCUUGAUGUGUAGGAUAGGUGGGAGGCUUUGAAGUGUGGACGCCAGUCUGCAUGGAGCCGACCUUGAAAUACCACCCUUUAAUGUUUGAUGUUCUAACGUGGACCCGUUACCCGGGUUGCGGACAGUGUCUGGUGGGUAGUUUGACUGGGGCGGUCUCCUCCUAAAGAGUAACGGAGGAGCACGAAGGUUGGCUAAUCCUGGUCGGACAUCAGGAGGUUAGUGCAAUGGCAUAAGCCAGCUUGACUGCGAGCGUGACGGCGCGAGCAGGUGCGAAAGCAGGUCAUAGUGAUCCGGUGGUUCUGAAUGGAAGGGCCAUCGCUCAACGGAUAAAAGGUACUCCGGGGAUAACAGGCUGAUACCGCCCAAGAGUUCAUAUCGACGGCGGUGUUUGGCACCUCGAUGUCGGCUCAUCACAUCCUGGGGCUGAAGUAGGUCCCAAGGGUAUGGCUGUUCGCCAUUUAAAGUGGUACGCGAGCUGGGUUUAGAACGUCGUGAGACAGUUCGGUCCCUAUCUGCCGUGGGCGCUGGAGAACUGAGGGGGGCUGCUCCUAGUACGAGAGGACCGGAGUGGACGCAUCACUGGUGUUCGGGUUGUCAUGCCAAUGGCACUGCCCGGUAGCUAAAUGCGGAAGAGAUAAGUGCUGAAAGCAUCUAAGCACGAAACUUGCCCCGAGAUGAGUUCUCCCUGAGACUUUAGGUCUCCUGAAGGAACGUUGAAGACGACGACGUUGAUAGGCCGGGUGUGUAAGCGCAGCGAUGCGUUGAGCUAACCGGUACUAAUGAACCGUGAGGCUUAACCUUACAACGCCGAAG